CUAUUAAAUUUAUUUAGUUACAGUUACACAUAUAUACAAUUAUUUUACAUAGUAACAUAGUAAAUUACCAGGAAUAACAAAUAAAAAGGUGCUGUCUGCUAUCUGCUGUUCCUGCUGUCUGCUGAGGACUGCAGAGUAAUUCUCCUCCUCCAUUACAUAAUGAAACACUAAAGAAGGAAGGCAGGAAGAGUUUACAACCUAAGAAACUAAAAAGAGGAAACUUAAACGAGAAGUUGACCCUUCACGUGAGAGUCAAGAACCACCACCAAAAUGUUCAGUUUCAACAUGUUCGGAGAGCCGCUGCAGCCACGGCCCUUUAACACUCACUAUCGCUGCUACUCCGUCUCCAUGUUCCCCGGGGAUAAACAAGCAGUGGAGAAUGGGGGCAAAAUUAUUAUGCCACCAUCAGCUCUGGAUGUCCUGACACGCCUCAACAUUGUUUACCCUAUGUUGUUUAAGCUAACAAACCAACGAGCAAAUAGACACACACAUUGUGGAGUGCUGGAGUUCGUGGCAGAUGAAGGGAAAGUCUACAUUCCAUAUUGGAUGAUGAGGAAUCUUCUGCUGGACGAAGGAGAUCUUGUGCAUAUUGAAUCUCAGUCGCUCCCUGUUGCUACGUUCUCUAAGUUUGAGCCUCAGAGUGUAGAAUUCCUUGAUAUCACAAAUCCGAAGGCUGUUCUGGAAAAUGCUUUACGAAACUUUGCAUGUUUGACCUUGGAUGAUGUCAUUGCACUCAACUACAAUGACAGAAUAUACGAGAUGCGAGUUCUGGAAGUAAAGCCUGGAAAUGCUGUCAGCAUCAUCGAGUGUGAUAUGAACGUAGAAUUUGCUCCUCCUGUUGGAUAUCAAGAACCAGAGAGAAUGGAUAGCGCAGCAGCUAUGCCCGAAGAUGACAAAGAGGAGAUGAUUCCUGAACCUACUGGAUUUUAUUCCUUCCAAGGUUCAGGAAACAGACUGGAUGGUAAAAAGAAAAACCUACAGUUGCCUCAGGAAGAGCUGUUGAAGAGGCUUCCAAGGCAGCGGGGUAUUCCUGAUUAUGAUUAUGAAGUUGGCUUUAUAAAAUUCUGGAGAAGAGCCCCUAAAACAAGUGACAGUGAGAGCAGAGUCGAGGAACAAGAAGAAUUCGAGUCUUUCCAGGGUAAAGGCACUUCCCUCCGACAAGCUAAAACAAGAAAAUGACCUGUAAUUAUAUAUUAUGGUUAUUUAGUUUCAUUUCUCGACAAACUGACUGUCCCCUAUUGAGCUAAGGUGACCCAAAAAAGAAGAAACACUUUUACCAUCACUCACUCCAUGACUGUCUUGCCAGAGGGGCAAAACUGCGAAUAUCCCCACCCUUCCUUCAGAGUGCAGGCACUGUACUUCCCACCUCCAGAAUGCAAGUCUGGCUAACUGAACUGUGUGAGGAUCACUUUUUUUGGAGAAAAAAUUGACAAGAUGUUUCAAGUUCUUUUUAAAUGUCGCAUCUAUAUUUUUUUCAUUCUAUUCUAGAAAACAUCAACACAAAAUUCAGUGCAUGGUGUGUAUCCAAGACCUUUAUACACUCCCCAUUAAAAAUGAUGCAGCUGACCUCCUUAUUUAGCAGUUUUGUGGGUGAAAAGUGCAAGUCCUUUAUUGUACCAGUAAAGGACUUACUGCAACUAGUUGUUUUUCUGCACUUGUCAGCAUCCCACCUCCAGCUUCCAGUAAGGAUGUUAACUACUGUAUAUGGCCCAUUCAGGUUUAGUGCUUGAUGUUUUAGUGUUAUCAGAGACAUGUUCAGUCACUGAUAUCUGUUAGCUUACUAUUAUUUAAUUUUAUAUAGCAUUCUACAUUAUUGUUACCAUACUGGUUGUAAAAGAAGUGAAUGUUAGUGUGUAGGGGGCUGUAUAGCCCUUGUGGCUUAGCGCUUCUUUUUGAUUAUAAUAAUAAUAGUGUGUAGGGGGAAUUGUGGGAUCAAAAUGUGUAGAAUGUAAUACAAAAUUUGAAUUGUCACAGUUGCUCUUUGCCAAUGACACAGUGCUGUUGGGAGAUAGAAGAGAAGUUUGCUAAGGUUGGUGGAUGAAUUUGGGAGGGUAUGUAAAUGAAUGAAAUUGAAAGUGAAUAUAAGAAAGAGCAAGGUGAUGAGGGUAACAAAAUUUAGGUAAUGAGAGAUUGGAUAUCAGAUUGGAAGGAGGGAGUAUGGAGGAAGUGAAUGUGUUUAGAUAUUUGGGAGUGGACUUGUCAGCAGAUGGGUCUAUGAAAGAUGAGGUGAACCAUAAAAAUGAUGAGGGGGGAAAAAGGUGAGUGGUGCACUGAGGAGUCUGUGGAGACAAAUCAUUAUCCAUGGAGGUAAAAUGGGGAAUGUAUGAGAGUACAGUAUACCUGGAGAGGGUUUCAGGGAUCAACGCCCAUGCAGCUCAGUCUGAGACCAGGCCUCGUGUGGAUCAGGGUCUGAUCAACCAGGCUGUUAGUGCUGUCCGCACGUAAACUGACGUAUGAACCACAGCCCGGCUGGUGAGGUACUGACUUUAGGUGCCUGUCCAGUGCCUUCUUGAAGACAUCCAGGGGUCUAUUGGUAACCCCCUUAUGUAUGCUGGGAGGCAGUUGAACAGUCUUGGGCUCCUGACACUUAUUGUGUUCUCUCUCAGUGUACUCGUGGCACCCCUGCUUUUCAUUGGGGGAAUGUUGUAUCUCCUGCCAAGUCUUUUGCUUUCAUAAGGAGUGAUUUUUGUGUGCAAGUUUGGUACUAAUCCCUCUAGGAUUUUCCAAGUGUAUAUUAUGUAUCUCUCUCAUCUGCAUUACAGGGAAUACAAAUCAAGAGACUUCAACCGUUCCCAGUAAUUUAGGUGCCUUAUUGUACUUAUGUAUGCCGUGAAAGUUUUUCGUACGCUCUCCAGGUGAGCAGUUUUGCCUGCCUUGAAGGGGGCAGUUAGUGUACAUCAGUAUUCCAGCCUAGAGAGAGCAGUUUGAAGAGAAUCAUUAUGGGCUUGGCAUCCUUAGUUUUGAAGGUUCUCAUUAUCCACCCUGUCAUUUUCCUAGCAGAUGCAGUAGAUACAGUCUUGUGGUUUUUGAAGGCGAGAUCAUCUGACAUCACUCCCAGGUCCUUGACAUUACUUUCUUGCUCUAUUGUAAGGUUAGAAUUUGUUGUAUACCCUGAUACAGUUUUAAUUUCCUCAGUUUUUCCUUAUCUGAGUAGUUGAAAUUUCUCCUCAUUGAACUUCAUAUUGUUUUGAGUGACCCAUUUGAAGAUUUGGUUGAUGUUCACUUGGAGUCUUACAGUAUCUUCAAUGGAGGACACUGUCAUGGCAAUUUAGGUGUCAUUCGCAAAGGUAGACACAGAGCUAUGGCUUACAUCUGUCUAUGCCAGAUAUGAGGAUGAGGAAUAGGAUGGGAGUGAGUACUGUGCCUUAUGGAACAGAGCUUUUCACUGUAGCUGCCUCGGACUUUACUCUGUUUACUAUUACUCUUUGUGUUCUGUUCAUCAGGAAGUUAUAGAUCCAUCUACCAACUUUUCCAGUUAUUCUUUUAUCAUGCAUUUUGUGUGCUAUUACACCAUGGUCACACUUGUCGAAGGCUUUUGCAAAGUCUUUGUAUGCUACAUCUGCAUUUUGUUUAUCCUCUAUAGCAUCCAGGACCUUGUCAUAGUGAUCCAAUAGCUGGAACAGGCAGGAGCGGCCUGUUCUAAACCCGUGUUGCUGUGGAUUGUGUAACUGAUGGGUAUCUAGGUGAUUGGCGAUCUUGCUUCUUAGAACCCUUUCAGAGAUUUUUACGAUAUGGGAUGUUAGUGCUAUCAAUCUGUAGUUCUUUUCAAUUGCUUUACUGCCACCUUUGUAGAGUGGGGCUAUGUUUUUAGUGCUUGUGGGGUGACCCCCAUGUCCACUCUCCCUCUCCAUAGAAUGCUGAAAAGCACAUGACAGGGGCUUCUUGCAGUUCUUGAUGAACAUGGAGUUCCAUAAGUCUGGGCCUGGGGCAAAGUGCAUGAGCAUGUCAAUUAUUGCCUUUUCAGAGGCAUGCACUUGCAUAUUUCAAAUCCUACCUUACUAAUAGGUAUCAGUAUGUCACCAUUAAAGACACAGCAUCAUCAUCAUGGCCACUUGAUACUGGAGUUCCGCAGGGAAGUGUCCUUGGUCCCCUGCUCUUCCUCAUUUACAUUAAUGAUCUUCCAAACGUAUCCCAACACCUGAAACCCAUUCUCUUUGCUGACGACACGACUUGCGUCAUCUCCCACCCUAAUCUUGCCACCCUCAACACCAUUGUCAAUGAGGAGCUGCUCAAAAUUCUGACUUGGAUGACAGCCAAUAAACUUACACUUAACACUGGCAAAACCUACCGCAUUAUGUUUGGUAGCAGAGCAGGUGUUGCGCAACUUAACAUUAAGAUCGACAACACUUUAAUUGCCAGACAUAAUGAGGGCAAAUUCCUAGGUCUAUACCUCGACAACAACCUAAAUUUCAGCACCCAUAUCCAACACAUAACAAAAAAAGUAUCUAAAACGGUGGGGAUCCUCUCCAAGAUACGAUAUUACUUGCCGCAAACUGCCCUUCUCACACUAUACCAUUCACUCAUUUAUCCAUACCGCACCUAUGCUAUUUGUGCUUGGGGAUCAACUGCAGCAACACAUCUAAAGCCAAUAAUAACCCAACAAAAAACCGCAGUUAGAAUAAUCGCUAAAUCCCAUCCCUUGCAACACACCCCCCCACUCUUCAUAGAUCUAAACUUACUCCCUGUUCAGAACAUCCACACUUACUACUGUGCAAUCUACAUCUACAGGACCUUAAAUUCCAAUAUUAACCUUGACCUAAAAUGCUUUCUUGAUAGUUGUGACAGGACCCACAGGCAUAACACCAGACACAAACUUCUCUGUGACAUUCCCCGUGUCCGACUAAACCUUUACAAAAAUUCAAUGUGUGUCAAAGGGCCUAAAAUCUGGAACACCCUACCUGAAAACUCUAGAACAGCAGACACAUUCAUCACUUUCAAAACUACAGUUAGAAAACAUCUUAUCUCCUUGAUACAUCCCGUCAACUAACUACGUGUAAACCACCUGGUGGUUCACACUUACACUCACCCAUUGACUAUAAACACAGAAAUACGAAUCUUAAUCUUAAAAUAAUGAAUCCUAACUAGUCAUAAGUUUGCCUAUGAUACUCCAAUAUAGACACUAUGUAUUGUGCCAAAACAAAAGCAUUCGCAUUGCUAAACUAACAAACUAUAAUGUAGUCACUUAGCCUUAAUACCAUAAUCUGUAAUAAUUUAAAGUUUAGAAUUAAUCUAAGUCUGCCCGAAAUACCUAGCCAUGCUAGGUGUCCUAGUGGCCCCCUCUGUAAUUAGUAUUUUAAAACCACACAAUAUUCAAAAUCUGUAAACCCCACAUUGUAAUCCUUAUAGAGAAUAAACUUGAUUGAUUGAUUGAUUAUGGUGUUAGAAUAAUAUCAGAGACUCUUGAGAUGACCAAAUUUUUGGUCUCGUUCAAAAAGAAUUCAUUUGGAUUGUCAACCCUUAGUCUGGGUAAUGGUUCACUAGCACUGGGCCAUAUUGGGACUUUAGUAUCUCACUCAUUUUUUAGCUGUUAUCUGUGUAUGCCUCAACACUUGUAUAGGUGUGAAGCAUGGGUUGUGAAUGUUGCAGUGAGGAAGAGGCUGGAGGCAGUGGAGAUGAUGUGUCUGAGGGCAGUGUGCGAUGUAAAUAUUGUGCAGAGAAUUCAUAGUUUGGAGAUUAGAAGGAAGGGUAGUAUUACUAAAAGUAUUAUUCAGAGAGCUGAGGAGGAGUUGUUGAGAUGGUUCAGACAUUUAAAGAGGAUGGAGCAAAAUAGGAUGACUUAGAGGGUGUAUAAAUUUGUAGUGGAGGGAAGGCAAGGUAGAGGGUUGCCCUAGGAAAGGUUAUAGGAGGGUGGGUAAAGGUUUUGCAUGUGAAGGGCUUGGACAUUCAGUUGGCAGGCACGCAUAAGCAUAGAAGUGGAGGCAAGUGGUUUUUAUGACUUGUUGAGCUGUUGGAAUGUGAGCAGGGUAACAUUUAUGAAGGGAUUCAGGGAAAAUAGUUAACUGACUCUUGGGGGUGGGAAUACUAUAUAUAUAUGCAGUUUGGAGGGGCAUCUGAAGUGUUAUUGACACACCUGUGAUAAAAGUGAUAAUGUUAGUGAUGGUGAAAGUGUUUCUUUUUUUUCAGGUCACUGCCUCGGUGGGAGAUGGCGGUGUUAAAAAAAAAAAAUAGCCAAUUUCUCUUUAGUAACAAUGGGGUUUUUGUUGAUUGCUGUUGUAGAUCCCCAUGCAUGGAUACCAUAAUUGAGGUAAUACUAGAUUAUAGUACAGUUUUGGAAAUUUUCUUAGGUAUGUGCUGGAUGCAUAUGAAAGUGUUGCCAUCAAAUUGUACCUAUACAUGUACCUAUAAAAAAUUCCCGUUUCUUCUUAGUGUUCAGUUGAAUAUUUUUAGCUUUUUCCCAAAUGGAUGUAGGUCUUAACAGUAUUGAGAGUUUGUUGGCUGUCAUCCAGGUAGUCAGCCCUUGCUAUAAUGGACUAUUUGGGGCUGUCCAAAUGUUUUUCAAAUCAGAACAUUAACCCUUUCACUGUCUUGUGUGUAGAUCCAUGUUAUUGAUGCCAGGGUCGCCUGUGUAGAUCUGUUUUGAGCUUGGCUCAGUCAGAUAAGCUGUCAGCUGUAAAUUUUGGUCUAGACAUGAGAGAAUGAGUCUCUGCAGUGAGUGUGCACAGCAUAAAACAAAAAUCCGCCCCAUGUGGUGCAUGAUGGGAAAAGCAAAACUCUGACCUUGUGUUUGGCUUAAAAUAGCAGUUUUGAGUGUUUUCUAGCAUGAUUUUCCUGUUUCUUGAUAAAUAUCAUUUGAUAGAAUGGAAGAUAUGCUGUUGAAAAUAAGACGAUUUUGAUAGGUUUCAAGACGAAGUCUGAAAUUGGGCUCAAAGUGGCAUACUAUCCAACAGGCUUGUGUGAGCAUAUUGGAUUUGAGGGAAUGGGGGCUAGUAAUUUUUAUGACCUGAUAUGCUGUUAAGAGUGUGAGCAAGGUAACCAGGCCUGAGUAGUGGAGGUGGGAAAUAGUGCCUACACCCUGAAGGAGGGGUGAGGGAGUUGAAAUUCAGAAGUCAUAAGAAAUGAGGUGUCAGCAUGCCUCUUGAUGAAAGUAAGUUUUUUUUUUUUUUUGGGGGGGAGGGGGUUACCCUGUCUUGGGAAACAGCUGGCAUGUUAAAAAGACAAGUACCUGUAUGUUUAUUUCAGGGCAGAGAGUACUAAACCCUUAGGGGUCAUACAAUGCCUUUGGAAAUGGGAGCCAUUUGGAGUGUAUCCAAGGAAAGUAGCUCUAAUUCUUUUGUAUCAAGAGCCCUUUACAGGUAUCAAGGCAUGUCUUGAGGGGACUGUAGUUGUACAUCAGUUUGAUAUUUGGAGCUACAUGAAAAUACAUAUUGUAGUUUGCAAAAUAUAAAUUAUAUUAUACAUGGGGAGUGCUAAACUUGUAGGGGGUCAUAUGGUGCCUGAAGGAAUGGAAGACAUUCAGACUUAAUUCAAGGAAUUUGAGCACAGGUCCAGCGCUGUAUAGUCCUUGUGGCUUAGCGCUUCUUUUUUAUUAUAAUAAUUAAUGAGCACAGGUCCAAAUCCUUAGAUCAAGAGCUCCUCACCAGCAUCAAGAAACCUUCCUUGAGGGAUGUAGUUUGCAGGAAAACUAAAAAGACCCUUCCCCUCAAGGAAGGUUCCUUGAUGUUGGUGAGGGGCUCUUGAUUUAGGGAAUUGGAUCUGUGCUCCAGUUCCCCGAAUUAAGCCUGAAUGCCUUCCACAUCCCCCCCCAGGCGCUGUAUAAUCCUCCGGGUUUAGCGCUUCCCCCUUGAUUAUAAUAAUAAUAAUAAAAAGACCCUUGGAUCAAACCUGAAUGUCUCUCAUUCUCCCAGCUGCUGUUAUGACCCCUAUAGAUUUAGCACUCACUUCCCCAAUUAAUGUAAUAUAUGUAAGUUUCUUAAGUCUUCUCACAUGGUACAUGUCACACUAUAAAAUUGGAUAAGAAAACAAGGUUAUUAUUUUUAUUUACUUUUUUUUUUUUUGCAACGUUUGGUAAUUUUUUCAGUUUAGUAUUAUGAACCUUUAAACAUUUAACACAACGUGUAAGCAAUAAGUGUGUUCCAAAUACAGUAAAGUUACAAUGGCUUAAAGCUCUUCCUUAAAAA